rnacentral:rRNA from 1 species
GAUGAACGCUGGCGGCGUGCCUAAUACAUGCAAGUCGAGCGAACGGACGAGGAGCUUGCUUUUCUGACGUUAGCGGCGGACGGGUGAGUAACACGUGGAUAACCUACCUAUAAGACUGGGAUAACUUCGGGAAACCGGAGCUAAUACCGGAUAAUAUUUUGAACCGCAUGGUUCAAAAGUGAAAGACGGUCUUGCUGUCACUUAUAGAUGGAUCCGCGCUGCAUUAGCUAGUUGGUAAGGUAACGGCUUACCAAGGCAACGAUGCAUAGCCGACCUGAGAGGGUGAUCGGCCACACUGGAACUGAGACACGGUCCAGACUCCUACGGGAGGCAGCAGUAGGGAAUCUUCCGCAAAGGGCGAAAGCCUGACGGAGCAACGCCGCGUGAGUGAUGAAGGUCUUCGGAUCGUAAAACUCUGUUAUUAGGGAAGAACAUAUGUGUAAGUAACUGUGCACAUCUUGACGGUACCUAAUCAGAAAGCCACGGCUAACUACGUG